CUGAGCCAUGUGAUGGAGUCUAUGAAGUCUUUCUUCCUAGGAUGGAACCAUGCCCCCACCCCUAUCCAGGGUAUCCCUAUCCUAUCUGCCACUUUGUCACUUAGUUGCCAUCUCAUUCAUCAUACUGACAGUUACAGUGUUUCAUAGUCGGUUGUAGUAGCCUGAUAGAGUGUCACACAUGGUACUGACACCAUCUAAUAACAGGAAGGUUUCAUUUUCCAAUUCGUUCCACACAUUCGACGCAACAGUCUCCAGCAGUCCAGACCUACAGUGUGACACACUCCCAACUUGAGUGAUUACAGGCAUGUUACAGCACACCUGGCUGCCUUCGUCCUUCGUGCACUGAAUACCCACUGCAACAUGACCUGAGUUAUUCACUGCAAUCCCUGUGGCUCUACUAUUCCAGCCGGUGCUCCUGGCCCAGUCUGAGGAGGCAGCCCUGCCUUUGUACGGAGAUGUUCCGGAACCAGCUCACACAUGCCAGUUCCAUG